AAGAAAACAGACGGAGAAGAAGCUGGUGAGGAACCUGAAAAAGCAAAGGGGAAGUCUAGGAAAUCAAUACCAAACAGGAAAAGGACAAGAAGUCAAUUGCUGAAAGAAGAAUUUCCCGAUCUUAUCAAAGAGGUAAAGCAGGAAUUGGAAGAGGCACAUAAGAAGAAGAGCUUGUUGCCUGCUGAGAAAAUUUCAACAAAAAAAGUUGCACCAAAUGCUAAGAAGGGGAAUGGAGUUACUUUGAAAAAGACUGCAGCACUUAAGAGGGGUAGCAAAGUUAAUCAGAUAGUUGUGAGGGAGGUUUAUGAAGACGAGGAAGAUGAAGAAGGAGGUGUAGAAGAAGGUGAAGAAGCACUACUACAAAAAUGGGCAAAGAGACCCUUAAGAAAAAACCCUUUGGUUGAGAUAACGGGUCUCUUUAAUACAAGAGAUCCAAUAUUAAAGAUAACGGAUCUGUAAUGAGUGAAAUAAGGUGGGAAAAAUAAAAUUAGAAAAGCAAGGGACCCGUUACUUAAUUUAACGGGUCUCUUAUUUAUUAGAGGGCCCACAAUUUUUUUGCAGAAUAUAAAAUAGAAGAAGCUAGAGAUCUGUUAUUUAAUUUAACGGGUCUCUAGCUUUUUCUUUUUCAUGGACCCACAAGACUUCGGAGGAAAAAGAAAAGGAAGAGACCUUUUUUUGUUUGCCGGGUCUCUAGCUUUUCCUUCUUCAAAAAUCUCCAACAACUAUGUUUCAUUGAAAGAUAAAUAAAUCAAGGGCUAGAUUUUCCAUCUCUCUUCCAUCGAGCACCUCUCGAUCUGAUCAACUAGGGUGUGAAAAUCGAAUCACCUAGAAGCGAACAUCCAGAGUUCAACGAGCUAAAAUACACUCGCAUAUCUGAACCAGAAGAACCUAUGGCAUCUGAUUAUGCUCAACCUCGAAAAGUUCAUCGCUCUCGCCAUUUUCCAGGUCUGUAACUUUUUAGCUUUAAUUUCUGAUUUUGUGAUAUUUUUGUCGAUUUCAUUUGAAUUUCAUGUUGAUUUUGCUGCAACUGUGUUGCGUUUUUUCUUGUUUGUUAUUGAUUUCACGGAAUUUAGGGGUUUUUUUUAAUUCUAUGGUUAUGUGUUGUGAGAUUAGGGUUUUGAGGGAUCGAUCUUCGGGAGGAUUUGAGCGGAAUUUGGAUUUCAGAUUGGUUUAAAUGUUUCAGGGUAUAAAGUUAAUCGAGGAACUGAUCGGAAUAUGAUUGAAUUUGGUUAUUUUUGUGUGUUUCUUCUACGAAAUGUAGUGUGUGAAUUUAAGAACUAUUGUUGUAAUGUGACUAGUCAUACUUGGUUUUGUUAGUUUCUUUGUUUGAUGUGAAUUGUGAAAUCUACUAAUUCCGUAUUGCUACUAGUUCUACAAAUGUUGGAUUUGUACCCAACUUGAGUCAAAUGGAACUGUCUAAUUUUAUUCUCUAAUGCCACUAGGAAAGGCUUAUGAAAAUUGGUAGAGCUUGAGCCAAAUAGGGGAGGUAAUGAAUAAUGAUGAUUUGGUCAUAGGUUUCAAGUUAAGGGUUAAUGUUUUGAAAAUAGAAAUUAACAAUUUACUUUAUGAUUGUAGUUGUAGUUGGUACGUUCCUUAUUAAAGUUUGGUGUGGUGGGUACUUCUCGUCUUGCAGAAGAGUACAUUUAUUUUUCUGAUUUAGAUUCUGUUAUAAGAUAUCAUGUUGGGUAUGC